GAUGAACGCUGGCGGCGUGCCUAAUACAUGCAAGUCGAGCGAACGGACGAGAAGCUUGCUUCUCUGAUGUUAGCGGCGGACGGGUGAGUAACACGUGGAUAACCUACCUAUAAGACUGGGAUAACUUCGGGAAACCGGAGCUAAUACCGGAUAAUAUUUUGAACCGCAUGGUUCAAAAGUGAAAGACGGUCUUGCUGUCACUUAUAGAUGGAUCCGCGCUGCAUUAGCUAGUUGGUAAGGUAACGGCUUACCAAGGCAACGAUGCAUAGCCGACCUGAGAGGGUGAUCGGCCACACUGGAACUGAGACGCGGUCCAGACUCCUACGGGAGGCAGCAGUAGGGAAUCUUCCGCCAUGGGCGAAAGCCUGACGGAGCAACGCCGCGUGAGUGAUGAAGGUCUUCGGAUCGUAAAACUCUGUUAUUAGGGAAGAACAUAUGUGUAAGUAACUGUGCACAUCUUGACGGUACCUAAUCAGAAAGCCACGGCUAACUACGUG
rnacentral:rRNA from 1 species